rnacentral:tRNA from 1 species
GGGUCCAAAAUCAAUGGUCGAGUAUUGGCAUUUUAA